rnacentral:rRNA from 1 species
UACGUAGGGCGCGAGCGUUGUCCGGAAUUAUUGGGCGUAAAGAGCUCGUAGGCGGUUUGUCGCGUCUGCUGUGAAAGCCCAGGGCUCAACCCCGGGUGUGCAGUGGGUACGGGCAGGCUGGAGUGCAGUAGGGGAGACUGGAAUUCCUGGUGUAGCGGUGAAAUGCGCAGAUAUCAGGAGGAACACCGAUGGCGAAGGCAGGUCUCUGGGCUGUUACUGACGCUGAGGAGCGAAAGCAUGGGGAGCGAACAAG